rnacentral:antisense_RNA from 1 species
CUUCACCGAGCCGAGCAGGACCGGCCGCUCCGGUGACCGACCCUGCCCAUAGGUGGCCAGAACCGCCUGCGCCUC